rnacentral:sRNA from 1 species
GAACCACACGGGGUUUAUUUGCCGAUGUUCCCUGGAAAGGUCGCUUUGUGAAGGAGCCAUCAGCAGUCUGUGGGCAUCGCCAGCAGGCCCUGGGGCCAAA